rnacentral:rRNA from 1 species
GUCUGACGGAGCACGCCGCGUGAGCGAUGAAGGCCUUCGGGUCGUAAAGCUCUGUUGUUAGGGAAGAACAAGUACCGUUCUAACAGGGCGGACCCUUGCCGGACCCUAACCAAAAACCCACGGCUAACUCCUUGCCGCCACCCGCGUUAUUCCUUAGUUGGCAGCCUUUUUCCGAAUUUUUGGGGCUUAAACCCCCCCCAGGCGGUUCCUUAGUUCUAAUGUGAAACCCCCCGGUUCACCCGGGAAGGGCCUUUGAAAACGGGGGAAUUUAAUUGCAAAAAAGGAAACCGAAUUUCCCCUUGUACCGUGGAAUUGCUUAAAAUUGUGAAGAACCCCCAUGGGCAAAGGCGGCUUUUGGGCCUGUACUUGACCCUAAGGCCCGAAA